rnacentral:rRNA from 1 species
GUGCCAAGCAGCCGCGGUAAUUCCAGCUCCAAUAGCGUAUAUUAAAGUUGUUGCCGUAAAAAGCUCGUAGUCGAACUUCGGCGCCUGAUGGCCGGUCCGCCUUCUUGGUGUGUACUUGCUCAUCGGGCGCUUACCUCCUGGUGAACUCUGAUGUCCUUUACUGGGUGUCAGAGCAAACCAGGACGUUUACUUUGAAAAAAUUAGAGUGUUCAAAGCAGGCCUACGCCCGAAUACAUUAGCAUGGAAUAAUAGAAUAGGACGCGCGUUCCCAUUUUGUUGGUUUCUGAGAUCGCCGUAAUGAUUAAUAGGGAUAGUUGGGGGCAUUUGUAUUCCGUCGUCAGAGGUGAAAUUCUUGGAUUGCCGGAAGACAAACUACUGCGAAAGCAUUUGCCAAGGAUGUUUUCAUUGAUCAAGAACGAAGGAAGGGGGAUCGAAAACGAUCAGAUACCGUUGUAGUCUCUUCUGUAAACUAUGCCAAUUGGGGAUUAGCACAGGAUUUUCAAUGACUGUGUUAGCACCCGAAGAGAAAUCUUUAAAUGAGGUUCGGGGGGGAGUAUGGUCGCAAGGCUGAAACUUAAAGGAAUUGACGGAAGGGCACCACCAGGUGUGGAGCCUGCGGCUUAAUUUGACUCAACACGGGGAAACUCACCAGGUCCAGACACAAUAAGGAUUGACAGAUUGAUAGCUCUUUCUUGAUCUUGUGGUUGGUGGUGCAUGGCCGUUCUUAGUUGGUGGAGUGAUUUGUCUGGUUAAUUCCGAUAACGAACGAGACCUUAACCUGCUAAAUAGACCAGUCGACUUUGGUUGACUGCUGUCUUCUUAGAGGGACUAUCAGCGUUUAGCUGAUGGAAGUUUGAGGCAAUAACAGGUCUGUGAUGCCC